UAUAUGUACAUAUUUGUAACUUAUCAGAGAUAUCAAUAAAUAAGCUUUGCUUCAUUUCAACGUAUUGUAUUAAAUACACCAAAGCCUUCUUCACUGAGUGGGGUCGGCUAUAUGAAUCUUAGAACGCCAUUGUGCUCGGUCCUGUGUCAUGUCCUCCGUUAGAUCCAAAUACUCUAAGUCUUUUCUUAGAGUCUCUUCCAAAGUUUUCCUAGGUCUUCCUCUACCCCUUCGGCCUUGAACCUCUGUCCCGUAGUCGCAUCUUCUAACCGGAGCGUCAGUAGGCCUUCUUUGCACAUGUCCAAACCACCGUAACCAAUUUUCUCUCA
rnacentral:lncRNA from 1 species